rnacentral:lncRNA from 10 species
UUCAUCAUUCAUUAGGACACUCCCACUAUGGACUGGGUGCUGUAAACUUCCUUGUCAGCCUGAAAGUUGCCUGAAGCCUCAUGCAAGCAUUUACAACACAGAGGAUGGAGUCCCCCUCUGUCACCCAGGCUAGAGUGCAGCCUGAUUCUACAACUUGGCCAUGUGAUCCUGAGCAAAUUACAUUCCCGUUUCAGUUUUCCCUCUUCAACAACAACAAAAAAGCGUUGGAUUAAGUAAUGAUUAAAACUCCUUUCUGCUGGGCGCGGUGGCUCAUGC